AAGGCACUCUGCUGCAAAAUGGUCCACACGGGCUGCUGUUGCCAUUUCGUUAACGAAUACCCUUUUUAUGGCAUGCAGAUUCAAAAUGCGUCUGUUGUCUGUGGAUCCCUUUGUGUGACGCUGUGUUAUGGAGUCUGUGUGGAACAAUCAACGACCAAGCUGCAUGGUGCUAAUCCAAGGACAGGGCCAUUGUGAUCUGUGACUAGCACUGGUGUUAUAGAUGUAUCCACUGAAAAAGGCACUAGGAACAUUGUGGCUCCAGGAGAAUCUACAGACAACCUGAGCACCUCUGUAGCGCUUCUGUGCAUUACUGUUCAACCGUUCCUCAGGAUGCUCCUAGAAUGUCUUCUGUUUAAAUAUCACACGAAUAGUUAACAAAAGCUACCCAAUUCCUUUUCUCCAAAGUUAAGGCCAAUAUAUUUCAGUUUCUUCAGAUAGGUUAAUCAUUGAAACCUAGCCAAACUAAGUAAAAAUAUUCAGACUCCUUUGUGCUUAAAAAUUCAUUCAAAUUAAAAAUCAAAUAAAAAAAUCAAAUAAAAAUAAUAAUAACAACCAAAAUCCUAAUUAAAAAGUUACGGUGUGUCUGAAUUCUGAUUUGUAUCUCCACGUGGUAGUUAUGAGUAAGGAUUUUUUAAAUUGAAAUCUGUAUUGCCGAUACAGUGUUUGUGCUAUGAUUGCCAUUUAAUAAGCAGUGGUCUUUUUCGUGGGUAAACCUCACGUUGAUAAAAUGAAAACCUAUGACAGCACGACCUAAAAAUGAGUAUGGUUGUAAACUGUCUGGAGCCUGGAGCAAAGGCAAUUACUUUAUACUGAAGAGAUAAGCAGUGCCAUCUCAAAACAACCCUGUGACCGGUUCAAUUAUUUUUGUGGACGGAAGUGACUUGAAAGGGGCCAUAUGCUAUCCAGAUUAGUUAAUGUGCUUUACUAAUUAAUAUAGCUGAGGAAGAUAAGAAUGCAUUUGAUAGAGCCAAGACAACUGUCAUUAACAAGGGAUGCAGCAGAUGUUGCUGAAUUCUCCUUUGACAGGAUUAUAAAAGCUCUCUAGUCUGGAUUUGACCUCUAAAGUGCUAUGUCUUCAUAACCCAUUAACACACACACAUCACCAUUUUAAAAAGGGCUUCAUACCAUCUCCUUUUUCAUAAUACAAGAAAACAUUGCUUUAAGGGUAUCUCAGUAAAAAAAAAAAAGAUCACCUCUCAAUUAAGGCCAUUCUUUUACAGUCCUGAUUUUCUCCUAUAAGUCCAGGUUCAAAAUGAAGGCCUGUGAUCAGUAUUGAGACCGCCCUCAGCAGUCCUAACGUAUCGUCACUGUUAAAUUACCUCUUUAGACCAACAUGCUGAAAUUCCACUCUGACAGCUUGGUUGCAGUAUAAAAAAUGUUAUCUUUUGACAAAUGUUCAGUUGUGUACCUUCAAUACAUAGUAAGGCCACUUUCCUGUUAAGGCUACAUUUUGUUCGCCCCUUGACUAGGUUUCACUGUAUUUCAUUUGUUACCUGUUCAGUAAUACCCCUUGUGUUCUCCAUCAUACUCAACCACUUUUAAAAGCUGAAUUGCUGUCCCCUCUGAAACUGAAAGUGGCUUAUAUUACAGUUGCACACCUUAAACCUCCCCCAGUCUUGUUGGAAUGGAAGGUAAGUGUGGCUAAUAAGGAUAUAAGCAUAAAUAGGAUUUAAACAGCUCAGAAAUUAUAUUUUUUGAAAAUGUAGAUCAUGUGAAGUCCCUUUAAGACCUAUUGUUUAUGGAAAUCUGUGUCCUGUCAUGUUUUUUAUCAGUAUAAUCAUAAUAAACUGUAGAGGACCUGUCUAAUAGCAAUACAUUCUGUGUUGCCCUGAAGGUAGUCUGCAGAGGUAAUACAGUGUCUACACAGUUUGAUGGUUUUCCUGCCACCUGCAAAAUGUAUGUACAGAGAAAGAAGAUAAAAAAAAGCCUAUAAAUGAUCUUACAACAAUUACAGUCAAAAUACUGUGUGAUUACAGUCACAUUGCAUGUCUUUUCCUCCUCAUAUGGUAAGGACUCACUGCUCACACAAUCAGAUAGGGGUUGCUUAUGUGAUUGUCCUUUGUGUCCUUUGACGGCACUGUGCGCUUAAUGUGUUAAAGCUUACAUUAAUUUUAAAUUAUUCCAUGGUGAAUGUUUCCAACACUCACCCGCCAUGUACCCGCCUGUGUGCGCUAAUUCAUGAUAAACACAGCUUUGCUGUCUUUCUCUGAAAUUACAGUAUAGUACUGAUUUAAUUAACAUUUGCCUUUUCUCCUUUCAGAAAAUGUUUAGUGAUGUUGUAGUGGUUUAAAGACAACAGUUGACAGUUUUUGCAAUAUUAAUUAUUUUAUUUGUCUAUUCCAUUAAAGAGAUAUUCAUACUUAAAAAAAAGGUUAAGUAAAAAAGUUUGCAAAAUGAUGGAUUUAAAUGGAUU